GACGAACGCUGGCGGCGUGCUUAACACAUGCAAGUCGAACGCUGAAGCCUGGCUUUUGUUGGGUGGAUGAGUGGCGAACGGGUGAGUAACACGUGAGUAACCUGCCCUCUUCUUUGGGAUAACGCCCGGAAACGGGUGCUAAUACUGGAUAUUCACUUGCCUUCGCAUGGGGGUGGGUGGAAAGGUUUUUUUCUGGUGGGGGAUGGGCUCGCGGCCUAUCAGCUUGUUGGUGGGGUGAUGGCUUACCAAGGCUUUGACGGGUAGCCGGCCUGAGAGGGUGACCGGUCACAUUGGGACUGAGAUACGGCCCAGACUCCUACGGGAGGCAGCAGUGGGGAAUAUUGCACAGUGGGCGCAAGCCUGAUGCAGCGACGCCGCGUGAGGGAUGGAGGCCUUCGGGUUGUGAACCUCUUUCGCUCAUGGUCAAGCCGCAACUCAUGGUUGUGGUGAGGGUAGUGGGUAAAGAAGCGCCGGCUAACUACGUGCCAGCAGCCGCGGUAAUACGUAGGGCGCGAGCGUUGUCCGGAAUUAUUGGGCGUAAAGAGCUCGUAGGCGGCUGGUCGCGUCUGUCGUGAAAACUUCCGGCUCAACCGGGGGCUUGCGGUGGGUACGGGCCGGCUAGAGUGCGGUAGGGGUAACUGGAACUCCUGGUGUAGCGGUGGAAUGCGCAGAUAUCAGGAAGAACACCGAUGGCGAAGGCAGGUUACUGGGCCGUUACUGACGCUGAGGCUCGAAAGCGUGGGGAGCAAACAGG
rnacentral:rRNA from 1 species